UGUGCGCGUGUGUGUGUGUCUCUGUGUGUGUAUUUGUGUAUGUGCGUGUCUCUGUGUGUGCGCGUGUGUGUAGGGGUGCAGUGGUCAUCUGGGAGUGAGCAGGGAAUGCAGCCUCGGACCGGGAGGACCAACCCUCUGUUCAACAAUACACACACCAAAAAUACAAUACAGUACAACAAUGUAAGAGUGUAUGUGUGUGUGUGUGUGUAAUAGCAGAUCUUGGUUUAGCUCUAUGUACAUGUGCUCUGCUCUCAGGUUAUGUUUGAGUGUGUGUGGGUAUAGGCCUACUGUGUACUUAGGGUUACAGUGUGUGGGUAUAGGCCUACUGUGUACUUAGGGUUACAGUGUGUGGGUAUAGGCCUACUGUGUACUUAGGGUUACAGUGUGUGGGUAUAGGCCUACUGUGUACUUAGGGUUACAGUGUGUGGGUAUAGGCCUACUGUGUACUUAGGUUUACAGUGUGUGGGUAUAGGCCUACUGUGUACUUAGGGUUACAGUGUGUGGGUAUAGGCCUACUGUGUACUUAGGGUUACAGUGUGUGGGUAUAGACCUACUGUGUACUUAUGUACACAGUGUGUGUGUAACUAGGUUGACAGUGUAUGUGUGUGUAACUAGGUUGACAGUGUAUGUGUGUGUGUAACUAGGUUGACAGUGUAUGUGUGUGUGUAACUAGGUUGACAGUGUAUGUGUGUGUGUAACUAGGUUGACAGUGUAUGUGUGUGUGUAACUAGGUUGACAGUGUAUGUGUGUGUGUAACUAGGUUGACAGUGUAUGUGUGUGUGUAACUAGGUUGACAGUGUAUGUGUGUGUGUAACUAGGUUGACAGUGUAUGUGUGUGUGUAACUAGGUUGACAGUGUAUGUGUGUGUGUAACUAGGUUGACAGUGUAUGUGUGUGUGUAACUAGGUUGACAGUGUAUGUGUGUGUGUAACUAGGUUGACAGUGUAUGUGUGUGUGUAACUAGGUUGACAGUAUAUGUGUGUGUAACUAGGUUGACAGUGUAUG